rnacentral:rRNA from 1 species
AGUGAACGCUGGCGGUAGGCCUAACACAUGCAAGUCGAACGGCAGCACAGUAAGAGCUUGCUCUUACGGGUGGCGAGUGGCGGACGGGUGAGGAAUACAUCGGAAUCUACUUUUUCGUGGGGGAUAACGUAGGGAAACUUACGCUAAUACCGCAUACGACCUACGGGUGAAAGCAGGGGAUCUUCGGACCUUGCGCGAUUGAAUGAGCCGAUGUCGGAUUAGCUAGUUGGCGGGGUAAAGGCCCAACAAGGCGACGAUCCGUAGCUGGUCUGAGAGGAUGAUCAGCCACACUGGAACUGAGACACGGUCCAGACUCCUACGGGAGGCAGCAGUGGGGAAUAUUGGACAAUGGGGGCAAGCCUGAUCCAGCCAUACCGCGUGGGUGAAGAAGGCCUUCGGGUUGUAAAGCCCUUUUGUUGGGAAAGAAAAGCAGCAGGUUAAUACCCCGCUGUUCUGACGGUACCCAAAGAAUAAGCACCGGCUAACUUCGUG